GAGAGAGAGAGAGAGAGAGAGAGAGAGAGAGAGAGAGAGAGAGAGAGAGAGAGAGAGAGAGAGAGAUGAAGCAUGUGUGAUAGCCUGUUGCCAAAGAAAUGCUGUCAGCUUUCUGGAGAUCAGUUUUCUCAGUGGAAAAAUCGCCAUCCAAGUGGGGGCCGGUGAAAGAGUCUUUCACUAUAGAAACCGCAAUAUCUUCCGCCAUUUUGAACAGUACAUUUUCUCCAAUGUGGAAACUCCAGUAAGAGUCUUCAUCAUGGUUUGCUGUGCUGCAUGGGGAUGCUCCAAUCGCUCAGAGAAAGGUGUGCAAAUGUAUGGCUUCCCCACUGACAUGGAGAGGAGAAAAAAAUGGUUGGCUCAAGUCAGCAGGAGCAAUCUAAAUAUAAAUAAAAAUUACAACAACAAAAAAAUAUGUGAGGCAGUCGUCCGAGGCACAUCUCUCACAUUGUCUGCGGCUGCGACCCUCUUCUGCUCAGACAGCCAUUGGGAAGCAGUCUUUCCAGCAGAAGUGGCACAGAAACUUUUCCCUUGGAAAAAACUGUGUCCAAACUCCAAUCUCUUUGGCUGUCCACACAGUCUGCAGGGAUAUCCCUUUGGGUCCGCUCGCCGUGCAGUGGCUUUGCCAUGGAUCAGGGCCUUCUUGUCCUCUUCGGCCCUCUUCUUUCUUCUCCAGGCUGUGGCCCUUGGCACCCGUUUAAGGGCUGCAUCAACCACAGCAGGAGGAGGAGGAAGCACAGCCAAAGAUGCACAAGGAGGAACUGUAAAAGACAGAAAAUAUAUUAUAGACAUUUAUUGCUUUUCAUAUGAAUUCAUUAUUCUACAUUCAUUCAUUCAUUCAUAGUUUAAAAAUCUUACCUGACAC